rnacentral:rRNA from 1 species
GAUGAACGCUGGCGGCGUGCCUAAUACAUGCAGGUCGAGCGAACAGACGAGGAGCUUGCUCCUCUGACGUUAGCGGCGGACGGGUGAGUAACACGUGGAUAACCUACCUAUAAGACUGGGAUAACUUCGGGAAACCGGAGCUAAUACCGGAUAAUAUAUUGAACCGCAUGGUUCAAUAGUGAAAGACGGUUUUGCUGUCACUUAUAGAUGGAUCCGCGCCGCAUUAGCUAGUUGGUAAGGUAACGGCUUACCAAGGCAACGAUGCGUAGCCGACCUGAGAGGGUGAUCGGCCACACUGGAACUGAGACACGGUCCAGACUCCUACGGGAGGCAGCAGUAGGGAAUCUUCCGCAAAGGGCGAAAGCUUGACGGAGCAACGCCGCGUGAGUGAUGAAGGUCUUCGGAUCGUAAAACUCUGUUAUUAGGGAAGAACAAAUGUGUAAGUAACUAUGCACGUCUUGACGGUACCUAAUCAGAAAGCCACGGCUAACUACGUG